rnacentral:rRNA from 1 species
AUUGAACGCUGGCGGCAGGCUUAACACAUGCAAGUCGAGCGGGGAAAAGUAGCUUGCUACUGGACCUAGCGGCGGACGGGUGAGUAAUGCUUAGGAAUCUGCCUAUUAGUGGGGGACAACAUCUCGAAAGGGAUGCUAAUACCGCAUACGUCCUACGGGAGAAAGCAGGGGACCUUCGGGCCUUGCGCUAAUAGAUGAGCCUAAGUCGGAUUAGCUAGUUGGUGGGGUAAAGGCCUACCAAGGCGACGAUCUGUAGCGGGUCUGAGAGGAUGGUCCGCCACACUGGGACUGAGGAAGGGCCCAGACUCCUACGGGAGGCAGCAGUGGGGAAUAUUGGACAAUGGGGGGAACCCUGAUCCAGCCAUGCCGCGUGUGUGAAGAAGGCCUUUUGGUUGUAAAGCACUUUAAGCGAGGAGGAGGCUACCGAGAUUAAUACUCUUGGAUAGUGGACGUUACUCGCAGAAUAAGCACCGGCUAACUCUGUGCCAGCCGCCGCAGUAACAC